AUCGCUUCUCAGCCUUUUGGCUAAGAUCAAGUGUAGUAUCUGUUCUUAUCAGUUUAAUCAAUCAAGUAAACAAAGUAUUUCCAGAAUCCAACCGAUCCUUU
ensembl:snRNA U2 U2 spliceosomal RNA